UCCCCUUAAAUAUGGGAUAUAGACGAGUGUGGCUUUUUCUAAGCCUUAGCACGCUUGUAUUCCCUCUAUAAAAGGGCAAAUUGAGUCACGAUCUAGGUCUCCCCGUACCCAAUAUGCAUGAAUUCCCUAGGCUCAUGCAUUUCUAAGUCCACUCUAUCAUUACACUUUCACUUUUCCUCCCAUUUGCACACGUACACCUUUUAUCCCUUCACUUGCACACUUUCACUUUUGUCUCAUUUGCACACAUGCACCUUUUUAUCCCUUCACUUGCACACGAACACUUUUCCUCCCAUUUGCACACGUACACCUUUUUAUCCCUUCACUUGCACACAAACACUUGUAAAUACAUUUGCACACCUCC
rnacentral:lncRNA from 1 species